GGCCGACUAGCUCAGUUGGUUAGAGCGUCGUGCUAAUAUGAGAGACAGUUUAUAUUAUAUUACGCGAAGGUCUUGAGUUCGAUCCACACGUUGGCCA